UACGUAGGGUGCAAGCGUUAAUCGGAAUUACUGGGCGUAAAGCGUGCGCAGGCGGUUUUGUAAGUCAGAUGUGAAAUCCCCGGGCUCAACCUGGGAAUUGCGUUUGAGACUGCAUGGCUAGAGUGUGUCAGAGGGGGGUAGAAUUCCACGUGUAGCAGUGAAAUGCGUAGAGAUGUGGAGGAAUACCGAUGGCGAAGGCAGCCCCCUGGGAUAACACUGACGCUCAUGCACGAAAGCGUGGGGAGCAAACAGG
rnacentral:rRNA from 1 species